rnacentral:rRNA from 1 species
GGCCAUACCAUGCUGAAUAUACCGGUUCUCGUUAGAUCACCGAAGUCAAGCAUCAUUGGGCGCGGUCAGUACUUGGGUGGGUGACCACCUGGGAACACCGCGUGCCGU